rnacentral:tRNA from 1 species
GACCUGGUAGUUCAGCCCGGUUAGAAUGUUCGACUGAUAAUCGAAUGGUCCCCAGUUCAAAUCUGGGCCAGGUCA